GAUCUGGCUCAGGAUGAACGCUAGCGGCAGGCCUAACACAUGCAAGUCGAGGGGCAGCGGGAUUGAAGCUUGCUUCAAUUGCCGGCGACCGGCGCACGGGUGCGUAACGCGUAUGCAACCUACCCAUAACAGGGGGAUAACACUGAGAAAUCGGUACUAAUAUCCCAUAACAUCAAGAGGGGCAUCCCUUUGGUUGAAACUCCGGUGGUUAUGGAUGGGCAUGCGUUGUAUUAGCUGGUUGG
rnacentral:rRNA from 1 species